GAUGAACGCUGGCGGCGUGCCUAACACAUGCAAGUCGAACGGACAGACGAGGAGCUUUGCCUGGUGGCUUUAGCGGCGAAGGGGGGGGAAAAACGUGGUUAACCUCCCCUUAAGACUGGGAUAACGUCGGGAAACCGGACCUAAUACCGGAGUAUAUACUGAACCGCAUGGUGCGGUAGGGAAAGACGGAUUUGCUUUGAGUUUUGGAUGGGGACGCGCCGCAUUAGCUAGUGGGUGAGGUAACGGCUUACGAAGGCGACGAUGCGUAGGCGACCUGAGAGGAUGAUCGGCCACACUGGAACUGAGACACGGUCCAGACGCCUCCGGGAGGCAGCAGUAGGGAAUCGUCCUCAACGGGCGAAAGCCUGAUGGAGCAACGCCGCGGGGGUGAUGAAGGACUUCGGCUCGUAAAGCACUGUUAUCGGGGAUGAAGAAAGUUGUGAUCAUUGUGGUGCGUUUUGACGUUACCGGAUUAGGAAGCCCCGGCUAACUACGUG
rnacentral:rRNA from 1 species